rnacentral:rRNA from 1 species
AUUGAACGCUGGCGGCAGGCUUAACACAUGCAAGUCGAGCGGAGAUGAGGUGCUUGCACCUUAUCUUAGCGGCGGACGGGUGAGUAAUGCUUAGGAAUCUGCCUAUUAGUGGGGGACAACAUUCCGAAAGGAAUGCUAAUACCGUAUACGCCCUACGGGGGAAAGCAGGGGAUCUUCGGACCUUGCGCUAAUAGAUGAGCCUAAGUCGGAUUAGCUAGUUGGUGGGGUAAAGGCCUACCAAGGCGACGAUCUGUAGCGGGUCUGAGAGGAUGAUCCGCCACCCUGGGACGGAGACGCGGCCCAGACUCCUACUGGAGGCAGCAGUGGGGAAUAUUGGACAAUGGGCGGAAGCCUGAUCCAGCCAUGCCGCGUGUGUGAAGAAGGCCUUUUGGUUGUAAAGCACUUUAAGCGAGGAGGAGGCUACCUGGAUUAAUACUCUAGGAUAGUGGACGUUACUCGCAGAAUAAGCACCGGCUAACUCUGUGCCAGCAGCCGCGGUAAAAC